UCUGUCUCUUAAAUAAAUGAAUUC
rnacentral:piRNA from 1 species